rnacentral:misc_RNA from 1 species
UGGCCGGUCGUAUUUGCGGGGCAAGUAUACGUUAUCGCGAAAAUGUCCUACACCCAAGUCAUCAACAUACAGUGCAACCGACUGGAAAAUUGUAUAAGUACAGCCAGAAUGACCUCGUUUUCAACCAGGAAGUUGCACUAAAAAUAAUCGAUCAUGAUUCGUCAAAUCCCAAUACACAAAUGAUGUUCCGGUUAGUGUGAAGGAAUGGUGAAGUUUCUACGUCAGUGAGAUAUUAAAUGAAAGCGUGAACCUACAUGGAGGGAAAUCUCAGACGAGGAAGGCCAACGCUCUGUAUCAGUGAAGCGUUUGGUUUCUUAAAUGAUCCUGAGUAUGGUGAUAAAAGUGGAAAAGAUGUCAACAACUUGGACAAGCAUUUAAAAAAGUCUGUCAGUGAUACAGGACUACUAAGGGGAGAUAAUACUAACGAGUUCCACCACCAAACACCCCUCUUAGAGAACAACACCUACACCAUCCUGACAUUUGUACAAGCUGAUCAGUCAAAUGCAAAAUCUACUGUCACACAGACUUUGGAUGAUGAGGUUACCCCGUCAGCUGAAUCUCAGUCCGAUAAAGAAUCAAGCAAAUAUACUAUAGUUACUUGUGUUGAUCACUCUGGAGCUAAACACGUGGUAGGAGAGGUAGGAGAGGUAGGAGGAGAAGAGAACAGUAUGCCUGGAAUUCUGACUGACCGUGGUUAUCUCCCUUCUCCAGAAACCAAAUGUACAGUCAAUCAAAAUGAGAGUGAUCUAACUCUAAAUGACACUGACCAUCAAUCAAGGGAGAAAAUCACUCCUCAGCAAAGGGAGACAACCCAUUCCCAAACAGGGGAAUUUAUCAAUCCUCAGACAGGGGAGUCCAUCAACUUUCAGGAACAAGAAACAAUCAAUCCUCAUAAUGGGGAACAGAUUCCAAUGCAAUGUGCUUCAGACAAUAGUGGAAAGAUCACCGGUGAUCAAAGUGUUCAAAAUAGUCACAGAACAAAUCAAAAUGGGGGCAUCUUAGAAAACGGUUCACAAAGUGGUAAUCAUUCACAGUCCACUGCUCAUGUAUCCCAACAUUCACAAGCAAAUCCAUUAAUACAGAAUGGACUUUCUAAAAGUGUUAUAAACAUCAGUCAUAGCCCUAAAUCAGGAGAUAACAAUCUGGUAACUAAACGUGAUGUAGACAAUAAAACCAGCAGUAGGGAUGAGGCUACUGCUGGUCAAACGCGGUCAAACACAGACCUGGUCACCGAGACCACCGACAAUAAGGUCAGUGAGGAAGAUGAGACGGUUGUGCUACGACCUCCGUCAAUCACUGGUCCCGCAACGCCAUCCCGACGGACACAACAGAUUGUCAGUGAUGUUUUUCAUUUUUUAAAGGAUAUUGAUUAUGAUGAUGAAGAUGACCUUGGGGAUCUCGGCACAGAAUCUGAACUGAAUUCUAAUGAUACAACAGGGUCAAAAGUGUUUUCAGAGCCAAAACCCUCAAAUGAAGCGGUCAGCAGCCUACUGCGUAAAAACUCUCUUGGCAUGUUGCCCCCAGCUCCAGCUCCUAAGCCAAAGCGCACAAGUUCUAGUGCUCAAAAUGAAUCAAUGUGUUCAAAUCAAAGUGUUCCAGUUGAACCGGUAAGCCGCUCCAGGAGGGAAGGUCACAGGAGCCCACCUUCAGUAGCCCCUAAACCAAGGCGUUCUACAGCCAGCCAAGUCCUCAACUCACCUACUAAUCAGAUUCAGGAAGGUCUCGCCGAUGGGGAGGAUAUGCUGAACCCUACUCCUGCAGAAAACAAAAGUUUAAUUGCUGAAGACCAGGCCGCAUGCUCAAAUUCAGACCUUCCAAAUCCAACGCUUAAUUCCAGUAUGGAGAUAAAGAGCUCCAAUCCAUUGACGACUAAUGACAAUGUAUCACUGACUUCUAACUCUACAUCUGGAAAUGACUCUGUGAACUCCGACCCUACUGUGAACUCUGACCCCACUGUGAACUCUGGCAACAACGUUGUUGAUAGUGGCUGGGACUUCAGUAGCAUGGUUGAAACAGAACCUGUGGAUUCUCACCCUUCUCAGGAGGAGGGCCAAUCAAGUCCUGUGAAGGUGCGACCAAGUCUUAGUCGUAGUGAGGCGAUAGACGAUACACAGGAGACCAUAGGAAACGCUAGACCAGUGGAAGAACAGGAGCAAACUCUGACGCUCAGACGCAAAAAAAGUAGAACAAGGUCGACUACAAAUGAUGAGGAGAGUGCAGACUCAUCAGACGAUGACACAGGGAUCUACAAUGAGAGUUAUCGUAAAUCAUGCUGGAUACAGAUUGCUGAGGGAGACGCUUCUUCACGAUCAAGCUCCCCAGCCCCACCCACAUUACAGACCGUGGAUGAAGCUAAUAUUGGUUCUGAACCUCCGGAUGAGACUGGCCCCGCCCCAGAGGACGAGGCAGAUCCUGUAACCCAGUCACAAAGCAAUGCUCAACCCAUUCAUCAGGACAGUAAAGAUGAAGUGUUUGUGGAGGGCAUGUCUUACAAGGAAGGUCGGUUCCACAAGCGGUCAGACUCCACAACCACCACUCGGUCAGAGAGCGAGUUUAAACGGGAGUACCAGUUCCGAAGAAAAUGUUUUGUGCAACGCAGUGACAGUCAACAGGAGUAUCAUAGAUUGUCUGCUAAAUUCUAUGACCAUGAGAACCAUCUGGUGAUAAAUAGGACGGCGGCGACCCCUGACCUCGGACUCCACAUCCUGGAUAGUCACCCUGCUGUCAUUACCUCCGUUGAUCCGGGGAGUCCAGCAGAGAAGGCCGGGGUCAAAAAAGGUCAAAUUAUCCUCAGUGUCAACCAGGUGAACGUGUUACAGGCAACUCAUGAUGAGAUUGUCUCCCUUAUUCAGGAGAGUUCACUCCAAGUGUCACUAGAAGUGGCCUCUAGUGAUGUGGGCUUGGUACGAGAUCUUCAGUCUCCAAAGGUAUCCGGUUUCAUGCACAAACUUAGCAAUUCAUCAUUUGUACGAAACUGGAAGAAGAGAUACUUCCUGCUCAGGAAAGAUAACUGUCUGUAUUACUACAAGAAUGAUCAGGACUGUACUGACCCACUAGGGGCCCUACCACUGCUCAACUACACCGUGUCAAAACACACAGACACAAGCAAGGCACAUUGCUUCAAGGCUGAGAAAUAUGGCGCCAAGACCUACUAUUUCUAUGUGGACACUCGUGAGGAAAUGGCCAGAUGGGUGUGUGCAAUGAAUGAAGCAGCCAUGGCCUCUAAGAAAAGGAAGGACUCCUGGAUGGAUAUAACGAGUCACAAUGUUGGGUUACCUGCCCUUGAGGUCAGGCGUGCAGAGUGUACUGGAUACUUGCGUAAGAGUAACAAAGCCAUGAAGAACUGGAACAAACGAUACUGUGUCCUCAAGGAUGCCUGUCUGUAUUACUACAAGACCAUGAACUCUCAGAACGCUCAAGGUAUGGCCCAUCUCCAUGGAUACCGAGUGGAUACGACAGGGAUACCUGUAAAGGCAUUUAGCUUCGUUCUCCAGCCUCCAGAAACACAGAUGAGAACAUUCUACUUUGUGGCCGAGAACGAGACGGACAAACUUAGAUGGGUGGAAGCGCUGAGGAAGUCAAUAGAACGGUGGAUCCAGAUGGAUUAACAUUGGGGCAUUGAUCCAGUCGGAAUUAUCAUCAGCAGAUACAGUCAGGUGGAUUAACUUUUGGGGAUUACCAGAUUCCAGGUGGAUUAACAUUGGGGCAUUGAUCCAGUCGGAAUUAUCAUCAGCAGAUACAGUCAGGUGGAUUAACUUUUGGGGAUUACCAGAUUCCAGGUGGAUUAACAUUGGGGCAUUGAUCCAGUCGGAAUUAUCAUCAGCAGAUACAGUCAGGUGGAUUAACUUUUGGGGAUUACCAGAUUCCAGGUGGAUUAGCCUGAGGAGAUAACAAGGCUCCAGGUGGAUUGACAAUAGAGGAUCGAUAUGGUCACAAGCACUUAAUCUUAAAUAAGAAAUGUUUUCUAGCUGGUGAGGUGAUUGUUCUACAAAACCUGAAUCUAUUUACUGAUAGCACUUACUCUUAUUACAGGACUUAUUUUCACUAUAGUAUAAUCACUAUAACAUGAAUCUUAAUUCACUUGAGAUGUAACACAGCAUUUGAUUGGUCAAUCAAAAUUACUUGCGACUGCAUAACCCUGAUACACAAUCAGCAAAUUUCUCUCAUAGCAAGCCAAAAUGGGGGAUGUUCAUGACUUGACUGACCCUUAAUGAUGUCAUAAACCAUAAUGUGAUCUCACUGUGAUGUUAUUGAUGUCACAGUCUACAGCGUAGUUACCCAAACUUCUCAAGUUACCCAAACU